GUCGAACGCACUUUCGUUGAAUGAAUUAGAGGUGCUUGCACCGAAGAUGAUUUUAGCUAUAAAGUGAGUGGCGAACGGGUGAGUAACACGUGGGUAACCUGCCCAGAAGUGGGGGAUAACACCUGGAAACAGAUGCUAAUACCGCAUAACAAAGUAAACCGCAUGGUUUACUUUUAAAAGAUGGCUUCGGCUAUCACUUCUGGAUGGACCCGCGGCGUAUUAGCUAGUUGGUGAGAUAAAGGCUCACCAAGGCAGUGAUACGUAGCCGACCUGAGAGGGUAAUCGGCCACAUUGGGACUGAGACACGGCCCAGACUCCUACGGGAGGCAGCAGUAGGGAAUCUUCCACAAUGGACGAAAGUCUGAUGGAGCAACGCCGCGUGAGUGAUGAAGGCUUUAGGGUCGUAAAACUCUGUUGUUGGAGAAGAACGUGUGUGAGAGUAACUGCUCAUGCAGUGACGGUAUCCAACCAGAAAGCCACGGCUAACUACGUGCCAGCAGCCGCGGUAAUACGUAGGUGGCAAGCGUUAUCCGGAUUUAUUGGGCGUAAAGCGAGCGCAGGCGGUCUUUUAAGUCUAAUGUGAAAGCCUUCGGCUUAACCGAAGAAGUGCAUUGGAAACUGGAAGACUUGAGUGCAGAAGAGGACAGUGGAACUCCAUGUGUAGCGGUGAAAUGCGUAGAUAUAUGGAAGAACACCAGUGGCGAAGGCGGCUGUCUGGUCUGUAACUGACGCUGAGGCUCGAAAGCAUGGGUAGCGAACAGGAUUAGAUACUCUGGUAGUCCAUGCCGUAAACGAUGAAUGCUAAGUGUUGGAGGGUUUCCGCCCUUCAGUGCUGCAGCUAACGCAUUAAGCAUUCCGCCUGGGGAGUACGACCGC
rnacentral:rRNA from 1 species